rnacentral:rRNA from 1 species
GGAGUCUAGCAUGUGCGCGAGUCAUUGGGACAUGACUAAACCUAAAGGCGCAAUGAAAGUGAAGGUCCGCCUUGCGCGGACCGAGGGAGGAUGGGCGGCCGUUGCGGCUGCCGCCCCGCACUCCCGGGGCGUCUCGUUCUCAUUGCGAGAAGAGGCGCACCAAGAGCGUACACGCUGGGACCCGAAAGAUGGUGAACUAUGCCUGGUCAGGACGAAGUCAGGGGAAACCCUGAUGGAGGUCCGUAGCGAUUCUGACGUGCAAAUCGAUCGUCGGAACUGGGUAUAGGGGCGAAAGACUAAUCGAACCAUCUAGUAGCUGGUUCCCUCCGAAGUUUCCCUCAGGAUAGCUGGCGCUCGUCGCGCACGAGUUUCAUCCGGUAAAGCGAAUGAUUAGAGGCAUUGGGGUCGAAACGGCCUCAACCUAUUCUCAAACUUUAAAUGGGUGAGAUCUCCGGCUUGCUCGAACUACUGAAGCCGCGAGACUCGAAUCAGAGUGCCAAGUGGGCCAUUUUUGGUAAGCAGAACUGGCGCUGUGGGAUGAACCAAACGCCGAGUUAAAGCGCCUAAAUCGACGCUUAUGGGAUACCAUGAAAGGCGUUGGUAACUUAAGACAUCAGGACGGUGGCCAUGGAAGUC